GAUGAACGCUGGCGGCGUGCCUAAUACAUGCAAGUCGAGCGAACAGACGAGGAGCUUGCUCCUCGGACGUUAGCGGCGGGCGGGUGAGUAACACGUGGAGAACCUACCUAUAAGACUGGGAUAACUUCGGGAAACGGGAUCUAAUAGCGGAGAAUAUAUUGAACCGCAUGGGUGAAUAGUAAAUUACGGUGUUGGUGUCUGUUAUAGAGGGAUCCGCGCCGCUUUAGCUAGUUGGGAAGGUAACGGCUUACCAAGGCAACGAUGCGAAGCCGACGUCAGGGGGGGGUCGGCCGCACGGGAGGUGAGCCAGCCACCAGACUCCUACGGGAGGCAGCAGUCGCGAAUGUUACGCAAUGGGGGAAAGCAUGACGCAGCAACGCGGAGUGAGUGGUGACGAUCUUCCGAUCGGAAAACUCUGCUAUUAGGGAAGAACCAAUGUGUACGUAGCUGUGCCCGGAUUGACGGUAACUAAUAAGAAAGCCCCGGCUAACUACGUG
rnacentral:rRNA from 1 species